CGAACAUGACCAGAGACGCAGCGGAAGUCGGAAAUCGAAGAUAACCCUAGGUUUUGGGGUUUUAAUCGGUGAAAAGGUUAGGGUUUUGAUGUAAAGAGGAUUUCAUCGGAGGCUGAGUGAAAUAAUCGGAAGGAAAGGUUGAACAAACCCUAGAUCGUAGGAUGAAAUGGUGGAAACCCUAGAUCGGUAGUUUUGUUCAGUGAAAAAGAAGGAGUUCACCGAUUAGAUCGGUGGAAAGGAACGAGGAUGUGGUUUGAAUUGGUGGAAACAACUUACGCGAUGGUUGAUCUGAGAUGAGAAGGUGUCGAUGAUCGGUGUUCGUGGCUGAACCAUACUCUCGAAGAUGCUGAGAGUGAAACCCUAGCAGAGGAUUUGUUUCGUAGCAUAGGAAGACACAAGUGAUGUGUGUCUGAGGUGUGAGAAUGAAGAGGCAGCGUAGGAAAAUAAGGUGGAGCCACGCGGCUGAAGUGUAUUGGUGUACAGUGGUGAUUAGGUGGAGGAGAGAGAAGCACGGUGGAUAAUUGGAAAUUGGAAAAUAAUGAAGUGUGCUUUGGAAGGAGGCUAGAGGUCUUUGGACUCUCUAGCCAAUGACUUUCAAGAGAGAAUAAUUUUCUGAAUUAGAAAAGUUUAUUCUCAUUAAGCUCAAAAGUAAUUACAAGAUGUGUUAGCAUGCCUAUAUAUAGGGCUCAAUGUACCACAUGCCUAACACAUUGUACACAUCUCUAAUACAAUUAAAAGAAAUAUUAAACUAAAGACACUAGGCUUGGGCCCCGCGUAUCA
rnacentral:lncRNA from 1 species